ACAUUUUCUUGACCUGUUUAGUUCUCUGUGCAACAGUUCAGCUCGAGCCCAGAGGAGAGGAGCACGGUUGAUAGCUUCAACGCCUCCUUGGCCUCAUUGUUCACAUCAGUGAACAAGCUUGAUGCUUGAUCCUCCAAGUCGGCGUUUGUGUCGUCAGCCACAGCGUUGGAGAAAUGGAUAGCGUUAGCCGGGCUGAGUGGCCAGCUCAAAGGCUUCUGAUAUGCGAGUGAAGUGGCUUGCUGACAAAUAGUUGGGUGCUUCUCUUACUCGAAGCACUGGCUGUGAUCGCAAGACGUGUAUGCAUCCGGCACUUGUGAAUCUUCUAAAGAGGGUACCGUAACAGA